CUAGCCGUAAACGAUGGAUACUAGGCGUUGUGAGUAUCGACCCUCACAGUGUCGUAGCUAACGCGGUAAGUAUCCCGCCUGGGGAGUACGCGCGCAAGCGUGAAACUCAAAGGAGUUGACAGGGGCCCGCACAAGCGGUGGAGUAUGUGGUUUAAUUCGAUGCAACGCGAAGAACCUUACCGGGACUUGACAUGUCGCGAAUCUCAGGGAAACUUGAGAGUGCCUUCGGGAGCGCGAACACAGGUGGUGC
rnacentral:rRNA from 1 species